rnacentral:rRNA from 1 species
GUGGGGAAUAUUGGACAAUGGGCGAAAGCCUGAUCCAGCAAUGCCGCGUGAGUGAUGAAGGCCCUAGGGUUGUAAAGCUCUUUUACCAGGGAUGAUAAUGACAGUACCUGGAGAAUAAGCUCCGGCUAACUCCGUGCCAGCAGCCGCGGUAAUACGGAGGGAGCUAGCGUUGUUCGGAAUUACUGGGCGUAAAGCGCGAGUAGGCGGUUUUUUAAGUCAGAGGUGAAAGCCCGGGGCUCAACCCCGGAAUUGCCUUUGAAACUGGAAAACUUGAAUCUUGGAGAGGUCAGUGGAAUUCCGAGUGUAGAGGUGAAAUUCGUAGAUAUUCGGAAGAACACCAGUGGCGAAGGCGACUGACUGGACAAGUAUUGACGCUGAGGUGCGAAAGCGUGGGGAGCAAACAGGAUUAGAAACCCGAGUAGUCC